UCCUCAUUAUUACUUAUCAUAUAUAGCGCUAUAUUAUAUCCAAAAACACGUCGACGUUGACUUUAUUUCGGUUCCAUCUCAUUCCAUUCAUGACAUAAUUUAUCGAGAUCUCUUUCUUUUUCAUACAUUUCAGGUACCUAAUAAGUUCUUCUGGAACAUAAAAAAAAUCAAUUAUGUCAGAAAACUUUUUUAGAGUUUCUAUAUCCUCGUUUGGGUUAUCAUUCCUUUAAGCU
rnacentral:lncRNA from 1 species